GUCACCACAAUAGACACUUGUGCUCUGCUCUUCUCCAUAUCUUACUCCAUGCAAGUGCUUCUGAACAGGAGAAUCAUGGCCUUGUAUGGAAUGGAGUCCCUCUGGCUCACCAAAAGAAAAAAGCCCUUGUUGUCAUGAGAACCUGGUUCCUCCAACGCUUUUCCAAAGGUGCCCCACUAAUUCAAAAGCCAGAGACACCCCCUUGUCAAAAAGCUAUCCUCUGACUGAAAGCAUGGAGGACAAAUUACACUUGGAUCAUUGGGUUGUAUAGGUGCAAGUGAACAAGUUAUUUUCUGUUGGUUCCUGUGUCCAGCCUUCAGAUGGCAAACCACAAGGCCAGCUCCUUGUCAGGCAAGAGACAGCAAUCUGAGAAAUCAACAAAAGGAAGAGGGAUCCAGUCCCAGGAAGAAGGCCUUCUAGUAGAAGAGAGAA